AAAAUCCGUUGACUUUA
rnacentral:tRNA from 1 species